rnacentral:ncRNA from 2 species
UAGGGUGCUUCGGGAAUAGGUGGCCUUGAGCCAUCAAGGCCGAAAAGGGAAGUCCGGUGCAAGUCCGGCGCGGUCCCGCCACUGUGAGGGGGAUCUGCCUUGCACGGUGCCACUGUCCAGUGGAAGAAACUGGAUGGGAAGGCGUAAGGUGGAGGUGAACCCGAGCCAGGAGACCUGCCUAUUCCUGCCCCGGCCG